CAAAUCGAUUGGAAGAAGCAUCUUUGCGCUUGGGGCAAUGACGCAGCUUAUGAGGUUCUAACCGAGGCGCGUCUAUUGCUGGUUGAAAACUAUUUCCAAACCCCCUCACUGGCCGCGGUUCAGCCGUGGCCUCUGAGAAUUUCUGGAAGGGCUCCCUUUGGGGUAAAGCCCUACAAUUCUUAGUUUAAAACUAUUUAUUUUUAUCAUCAAAAAACUUAUAAUUUAAUUGUAAUUUUUGUUCAUGAUUUUUAGUUAGAAAUACCCGUACUUAAAUAUAUUAAAUUUUGUUGACUUAUAAUUAUUCAAAUUU
rnacentral:snRNA from 1 species